GACGAACGCUGGCGGCGUGCUUAACACAUGCAAGUCGAACGGAAAGGCCCUGCUUUUGUGGGGUGCUCGAGUGGCGAACGGGUGAGUAACACGUGAGUAACCUGCCCUUGACUUUGGGAUAACUUCAGGAAACUGGGGCUAAUACCGGAUAGGAGCUCCUGCUGCAUGGUGGGGGUUGGAACGUUUCGGCGGUUGGGGAUGGACUCGCGGCUUAUCAGCUUGUUGGUGGGGUAGUGGCUUACCAAGGCUUUGACGGGUAGCCGGCCUGAGAGGGUGACCGGCCACAUGGGGACUGAGAUACGGCCCAGACUCCUACGGGAGGCAGCAGUGGGGAAUAUUGCACAAUGGGCGGAAGCCUGAUGCAGCAACGCCGCGUGCGGGAUGACGGCCUUCGGGGUGUAAACCGCUUUCGCCUGUGACGAAGCGUGAGUGACGGUAAUGGGUAAAGAAGCACCGGCUAACUACGUG
rnacentral:rRNA from 1 species